rnacentral:snoRNA from 1 species
AACCCGUGAUGAGGACAGUCUCUCUAAUAUCCCUUGAAUCUUUCCCACGCAGCCUUGAAAGAUUCUGUCAGAUUCUGAAUGAACGUGGAGAU